GAGUUUGAUCAUGGCUCAGGAUGAACGCCGGCGGUGUGCCUAAUACAUGCAAGUCGAGCGCACUGGCCCAACAGAAAUGACGUGCUUGCACUGAUUUGACGUUGGAUUCCCAGUGAGCGGCGGACGGGUGAGUAACACGUGGGCAACCUGCCCCAAAGCGGGGGAUAACAUUUGGAAACAGGUGCUAAUACCGCAUAACUUGGAAAACCACAUGGUUUUCCAAUAAAGAUGGUUUCGGCUAUCACUUUGGGAUGGGCCCGCGGUGCAUUAGCUAGUUGGUAAGGUAACGGCUUACCAAGGCGAUGAUGCAUAGCCGAGUUGAGAGACUGAUCGG
rnacentral:rRNA from 1 species